ACAUGCAAGUCGAGCGGUAGAGAGAAGCUUGCUUCUCUUGAGAGCGGCGGACGGGUGAGUAAUGCCUAGGAAUCUGCCUAGUGGUGGGGGAUAACGUUCGGAAACGGACGCUAAUACCGCAUACGUCCUACGGGAGAAAGCGGGGGACCUUCGGGCCUCGCGCCAUUAGAUGAGCCUAGGUCGGAUUAGCUAGUUGGUGAGGUAAUGGCUCACCAAGGCGACGAUCCGUAACUGGUCUGAGAGGAUGAUCAGUCACACUGGAACUGAGACACGGUCCAGACUCCUACGGGAGGCAGCAGUGGGGAAUAUUGGACAAUGGGCGAAAGCCUGAUCCAGCCAUGCCGCGUGUGUGAAGAAGGUCUUCGGAUUGUAAAGCACUUUAAGUUGGGAGGAAGGGUAGUAACUUAAUACGUUGCUACUUUGACGUUACCGACAGAAUAAGCACCGGCUAACUUCGUGCCAGCAGCCGCGGUAAUACGAAGGGUGCAAGCGUUAAUCGGAAUUACUGGGCGUAAAGCGCGCGUAGGUGGUUCAGUAAGUUGGAAGUGAAAUCCCCGGGCUCAACCUGGGAACUGCUUUCAAAACUGCUGAGCUAGAGUACGGUAGAGGGUGGUGGAAUUUCCUGUGUAGCGGUGAAAUGCGUAGAUAUAGGAAGGAACACCAGUGGCGAA
rnacentral:rRNA from 1 species